AGAGAGGGAGAAAGAAAGAGUAAUAGAGGGGAAAGAGAGAGAGUAGCGAGAUAGUGGUUGUGGUGGUGGAUGCGUCGGUAAGACUCUCGUGCAGUUUCCGCUUCCCGUCCGUCAGCUGUGUUCACGCUGGCUUCUUCAUGUGGUUGUGAAUAUGUCGUAGUUUAAUAUACGCAUGGCCAACGGAAGAGCUUCCAGUGAGUGUAUAUAGAAUAUAUAUUACAUAAAUAUAGGAUCAACAAAUAGACAGGAUUGUUUUCAUCUAGAACCCCUUUGCCUUUGUCCUUGGUAUUUUGAAAAAGAAAAAGACAGUGAAAAGAAGUUUGGCUGCUAUUUCUAGCUGCUCGAGAGACCACCUCGUAAGAAGAAGCCACUUUUUUUUUUUUUCCGCACGCUCCCUUCGUUCUUCCCCCAUCCAUUCGAGAGGAAGGCCCCCAGGUCCAGGAAU
rnacentral:misc_RNA from 1 species